rnacentral:lncRNA from 1 species
AUGGCAAUUGUGCAACUGAUGUUUCAUGGUCAUUAUUAUCUGCUGUUUUUCAAACUUUCUGUUGUUCUUUCCUGCCAAAUCCAUGGAGCUUUGAGAUCCUCUCAGCUGCUCCCUUCCCCGGGCCACAGUCCACGAUCAUUUCCAGUUUGGAAAAAAGCAUGAUAGCUUGAAGUUGGACGUUAGCAAACAUUGAUUGCUGGCUGCUAGCCAUUUAACUGCCAGGAGAAAGAGGUAGGACUACUGCACAGACAGGGUAUCACUCAGGUUUCCUACGUCUGGUGGUAGCUUUCACAGGACCUCUGGACUGACAGGAGGGGAAAUGUGUUGGUCCAGUGAGGGCAUCUAGCCUUGAGUCUUACUGUAAAUGUGUGCUCAUCCUCCAGCCUUUAACCAAAGUAUAUCAGCUCUUAGUUUUUCAUGCUGAGGCAUACUGAAGAAAGAGAGGAGAUAGAUGGUAGAAAAGAGCCUUUUUACUUGUUGGAUCUCAGUAGGAAAAUAACUCCCCACUGACAAGCAAGACAUAAAGCCAGCUGAUGAGAAAGAUAGGGAG